CUCCUGGGAAGUCCUGGUGUUGCACCCC
rnacentral:rRNA from 1 species